rnacentral:lncRNA from 1 species
CCCAUUUAUCUAGUUAACGCUUCGAGAUAAAUACUGUUAAUAUCUUUAUUUUAUACAGGAAGAAACUGAUUUCUCCGUGCUGUGGGCCACGGUUUAUAGUAGUGAGUCAGGCAGAAGUGGUCUUUGCUCCUGUGGAGCUGACAGUCUAGUGGGGCUUGAAGUGGUUGAAUGACUUGUGCAAGGUCACAUACAGAAAGUAAAGGGUAGAUCUAGGUCUUGAAUGAGGGAAUUUAAGACCACCUGACUUAAAAACCUCUUUGUUUAUGCUAUGUUGUAAUGCCCUUCUACAUUUUAACCCUUGCAUAAAAGCAUACAGAUUACCAGAGGUAAGCACAGAUGUAUUUUUUGUUGGGAGAUGGGUGUCCUGCAUGAAGUUUGUGUCAUUUUCAACUACCAAGAAUAUUUUGCAGUUUUGUCAAUGCUAGUGACAAACUUUAGUUACAUAAUAGAGUUUUUAUUAAGUUAUUAUUAACUUUUUCC